rnacentral:rRNA from 1 species
UACGGAGGAUCCAAGCGUUAUCCGGAUUUAUUGGGUUUAAAGGGUGCGUAGGCGGCCUAUUAAGUCAGGGGUGAAAGACGGUAGCUUAACUAUCGCAGUGCCUUUGAUACUGAUGGGCUUGAAUGAACUAGAGGUAGGCGGAAUGUGACAAGUAGCGGUGAAAUGCAUAGAUAUGUCACAGAACACCAAUUGCGAAGGCAGCUUACUAUGGUUUAUUGACGCUGAGGCACGAAAGCGUGGGGAGUCAAACAGG